rnacentral:sRNA from 1 species
AUAUCUCUCCGUACGGGAAGGAUGAGAAGCUUCGACUAAGGUUCGAUUCGAGCGUCAGCGAGAAAGCGUUGCCGCAGGCAACGACCCGAAGGGCGAAGCGCGC